rnacentral:rRNA from 1 species
GACCCCCUACGGGGCGCAGCAGUGAGGAAUAUUGGUCAAUGGGCGAGAGCCUGAACCAGCCAAGUCGCGUGAGGGAGUACUGCCCUAUGGGUUGUAAACCUCUUUUGUCGGGGAGCAAAAGACGCCACGCGUGGCGUUCCGAGAGUACCCGAAGAAAAAGCAUCGGCUAACUCCGUGCCAGCAGCCGCGGUAAUACGGAGGAUGCGAGCGUUAUCCGGAUUUAUUGGGCGUAAAGCGAGCGCAGGCGGUUGCUUAGGGCUGGUGUGAAAGCCUUCGGCUUAACCGAAG